AAGUCAAAUGUUUUGGAUUCUGAAACUGACACCUGUGUUGGCAACGCCUCUGUCGACGUCACCGCCUGAAAUAGUUUCAAAAUGAAGGAACAAGGAUAUACAAAACAAACAAACGUAAUAUCACUUGGAGACUGACUUCCAAUAUCUAUUUAGGAAGUAUGAUGGAAUUCAUCUUUAUAGAAUAACCAUGACCUGUCUUGUCAAGGUUAUUUUUUCUUUCUUUUUCUUAGAGUAAGAUUUUGUAAUUAUAGGUUUUACAUAUAUUAUACAGAUUGUACAAUUUGUAUUUUAAUGAACACGGGCAGUUGACAAAACUUGCUAAAUCAUAUACUACUACUACUAAGUAACUAAAUAAAUAAAUAUCCUAUAUUAAUUGAGCGAUAUAUAGAAUAUUUAUACUAUAAAAAACAUUUUUGUCACACUAUUUAAUUUAACUUGCUAAACAGAAUGUUAAAAUGGUGAAUAAUAAUAGUAGUAUUAGUAAUAAUAUUAAGUAUAGACCUACUAAACAAGUUAUAAAAUGAAUGAGUGAAACAGGCUACCCAUUGUUACUUGAGAGAUUAUAUAUGUACUUCAAAAACAUUGAAGUUAAUUGCUAAAACGUUAAUAGAGUCGCCUACUUAUACUUAAAAUAAAUUAGAAUUCAACUCAGUUGUCACAAUAUAGGUAGGAUAUUUGAAUGAACUGCUAAAAAGGUUAUUAAAAAGUCACAAAAGUUCAUGGACAUGAGUGCAGUGCACUGACAGUAGAAUCAAUCAGCCCAGAGCGCACACUGACUUCCUCUCCUGCCUGAAGAGAUCCAUUCAAACAUGGUUCCUCCCGUACAGGUCUCCCCGCUCAUCAAGACAGCAAGAUGGUCAGCCUUGCUAAUUGGAUUACUUUAUGGGAAGCAGAGAUAUGAUUAUCUGAAGCCCAUUGCUGCUGAAGAAAGAAGGAUUGAGGAGGAAGAGAAGAAACUCAGGGAAGAGCAAGAGCGCAUUUACAAACAGCUAUCUGAAGCAAACUCUGACACCAUUCUGAAGUAAAUCUCCAUGACGUAUUCAUUCCAGCACUAAAUGAGAAAUCACAAUGAACCUAAUUCUAUUUUUCAAUAAAGACAGAAAUUAAAA